rnacentral:rRNA from 1 species
CCUACGGGAGGCAGCAGUGGGGAAUAUUGCGCAAUGGGCGAAAGCCUGACGCAGCGACGCCGCGUGAGGGAUGAAGGUCUUCGGAUCGUAAACCUCUGUCAGCAGGGAAGAAAGGUCACUGUGCUAAUCAGCAGUGAAUUGACGGUACCUGCAAAGGAAGCACCGGCUAACUCCGUGCCAGCAGCCGCGGUAAUACGGAGGGUGCGAGAGGUAAUCGGAUUGACUGGGCGUAAAGCGCUCGUAGGCGGUAUGUCAAGUCAAGGGUGAAAUCCCCGCGCUCAACGUGGGAACUUCCUUUGAAACUGGCAAACUGGAGUGUGUGAGAUGAUAGUGGAAUUCCAGGUGUAGGAGUGAAAUCCGUAGAUAUCUGGAGGAACAUCAGUGGCGAAGGCGACUAUCUGGCACAUAACUGACGCUGAGGAGCGAAAGCGUGGGUAGCAAACAGGAUUAGAUACCCGGGUAGUC